rnacentral:misc_RNA from 1 species
CAAUAACAUAAGAGAAUCAAAAAUCCAUUACACUUCCAUCAAAUAUAACAAGUGUCGUCACAGUUUGUAACAAACCUCCUAGAAAAAACAUUGACUAACAAAAAUCAUAAGCUUAAAUUUUCUAGGCAGCAGCCUUUUGCUUCUUUGGUACGCGAUAGGCACCAACAACACAAGCGUGGUCUCUUUCAAAUGGUUCAAGAGUAACCUGCUCCACUGGUUUAAAUUGCUCCGCUUGUAGCUUCUUCACUUCCUGAGCAAACACAGCUUCAGCUGGUACUGUUGAAUCAAUACAGUUUGCCUUGAUUGAGAUAACAAAGUGACCACCAGCUUUCAAGAAGUAUGAUGCAUUCAGAGCUAAAAUUCUUGCCUGAUCAGGUUGAGCAACAUCAGAAAAUAUCACA